UAGUCAUAUGCUUGUCUCAAAGAUUAAGCCAUGCAUGUCUCAGUGCAAGCCGUCCUGUACGGUGAAACCGCGAAAGGCUCAUUAAAUCAGUUAUGGUUCCUUAGAUAGUACCCACGUUACUUGGAUAACUGUGGUAAUUCUAGAGCUAAUACAUGCCGACAGAGUUCCGACCAGCGUCGCGGCGGCUUGCCGUUCGCGACGUUCGGAAGGAGCGCUUUUAUUAGAUCAAAAUCGGCCAAGCGCAACGUUCGCGUAGCGUUAGUGGCCCGCGCAAAGACUUGACGACUCUGAAUAACUUCGAGCUGAUCGCACGGUCUCGCACCGGCGACGUAUCUUUCAAAUGUCUGCCUUAUCAACUGUCGACGGUACGUUCGAUGCUUACCGUGGUGGUAACGGGUAACGGGGAAUCAGGGUUCGAUUCCGGAGAGGGAGCCUGAGAAACGGCUACCACAUCCAAGGAAGGCAGCAGGCGCGCAAAUUACCCACUCCCAGCUCGGGGAGGUAGUGACGAAAAAUAACGAUACGGGA
rnacentral:rRNA from 1 species